rnacentral:rRNA from 1 species
GACGAACGCUGGCGGCGUGCUUAACACAUGCAAGUCGAACGGAAAGGCCUCUUUCGGGGGGUACUCGAGUGGCGAACGGGUGAGUAACACGUGAGUAACCUGCCCUUGACUUUGGGAUAACUUCAGGAAACUGGGGCUAAUACCGGAUAGGAGCUCCUGCUGCAUGGUGGGGGUUGGAAAGUUUCGGCGGUUGGGGAUGGACUCGCGGCUUAUCAGCUUGUUGGUGGGGUAGUGGCUUACCAAGGCUUUGACGGGUAGCCGGCCUGAGAGGGUGACCGGCCACAUUGGGACUGAGAUACGGCCCAGACUCCUACGGGAGGCAGCAGUGGGGAAUACUGCACAAUGGGUGGAAGCCUGAUGCAGCAACGCCGUGUGCGGGAUGACGGCCUUCGGGUUGUAAACCGCUUUCGCUCAUGACGAAGCUUUGUGUGACGGUAGUGGGUAAAGAAGCACCGGCUAACUACGUG